AAGUGCUUCGGUCAGGCAGUAUCUUUGAAAAUAAUUUGGCCAAUGAAAGCCCUGGCAUUGGAUGAAAGUGCUAGCUGCUGGGAAUGCUACCCCUCCUUUUGGUUCUCUUUCAAGUCCUUCAGGUUCAAACAAUACAGAAGUGUAUAAAGUAAGAAUUGAAAGUCUCUUCGCUGCUCUAAUCUCACUCCUCAGAGGUGAUCACUGGACCUGAGUGAGCAGAAGGCUUUUCAGAAUUACAGCCUGAACUAUUUCUUGAGCAAUUUGGGAACUCAUUUCUAAAGCAGUCCUCAGAUUCACACAACGUAGUUUGUGACGGAGUAUGCCCAGAGCAGUGUGGAAGAUGAUCAAAGUAUGACAUUUCUUCUACCCCAGAGGCUGGCAUUUCUGCAGGCACAAAUGAGCUUGGUUUUCAAGCACUGCUCUUUGAACACAAGGAAUUCCUUUAAUGAUCACGCCGGACUAUAUAGACUUUGGAAUCAGACUCUUUGAAUUCCAGCUCUGCCAUUUACCAACUUUGACACUUUGGGGUUUUGGAAAUCUGGAUUGUAGCAGGGCAUUGUGGAUCUGCCUGUUGGUGGAGAACCCUAGACUGCAUGCAGCCAUGCACAUGAUCUGGAGACACAGCAGAGACAAGGUCUUUGUCUGUUGCUCAGGAUGGAGUGUAGUGGUGCCAUAGCACACUGUAAUCUUGAAUUUCUGGACUACUGGCAUACACCACCAUGCUUAGGUUCGGGCCACAACAUCCGUGACUUUACCGGUUUUGGUCUCUUCCUUGUAACUUUCGGCUCCAGGAUGCUGCGCAGCUCCUCUCUGCACUAUCUAUCAGAACGUUGCUCUGCGUGCUUGAAAGUUUCGCCAAACAGAAGUACACAAAAACAAACAGAGGCGAAACACAAAUCCCCUCAGCCCUGGAGGAAAAGGCCUUGAAGCUCUUCCAGUGCAGAGGCCACGCAGAGGACAUGCUCCUACCUGUGCACAUCGGCCACGCCUGGGGUGCCUCCUGGAGUCCAGGCUGCUGGCGAUGGAAUCCAUCAUGUUGCUGAUGUCACU
rnacentral:lncRNA from 1 species